rnacentral:rRNA from 1 species
UACGUAGGGGGCAAGCGUUGUCCGGAUUUAUUGGGCGUAAAGAGCUCGUAGGCGGUGUGUCACGUCGGCCGUGAAAACCUGCAGCUUAACUGUGGGCGUGCGGUCGAUACGGGCAUCACUGGAGUUCGGCAGGGGAGACUGGAAUUCCUGGUGUAGCGGUGAAAUGCGCAGAUAUCAGGAGGAACACCGAUGGCGAAGGCAGCUUGCUGGGACGGUACUGACGCUGAGACGCGAAAGCGUGGGGAGCAAACAGG